UACGGGGGGAGCAAGCGUUGUUCGGAAUCACUGGGCGUAAAGGGCGCGUAGGCGGCCCGCACAAGUCCGCGGUGAAAACCUCCGGCUUAACCGGGGGCCGGCCGAGGAAACUGUCGGGCUGGAGGCUGGGAGAGGGAAGCGGAAUUCCCGGUGUAGCGGUGAAAUGCGUAGAGAUCGGGAGGAACACCGGUGGCGAAGGCGGCUUCCUGGACCAGCCCUGACGCUGAGGCGCGAAAGCUAGGGGAGCAAACAGG
rnacentral:rRNA from 1 species